AAAUAUAUGGGUGAAUGUGCUAUUUCCCCACGAUAACUAUUGUAUAGCAUCAGAUGUCCACCAAACUAUGACCUCAUACUAAAUAUCCAUCAAUUGUAUAUUAAAAACGUAUUUCUCCCGAAUUAAAAGUUACAAUCUUAUUUCUCCUUUAGUUUCAAAUUUAAUUAUACAUGAACUAUGGUUUAAAUCGGUUUACAGUUUACCCAACAAUAUUAACCAGUUAA
rnacentral:lncRNA from 1 species